GACGAACGCUGGCGGCGUGCCUAAUACAUGCAAGUUGAGCGAUGAAGAUUGGUGCUUGCACCAAUUUGAAGAGCAGCGAACGGGUGAGUAACGCGUGGGGAAUCUGCCUUUGAGCGGGGGACAACAUUUGGAAACGAAUGCUAAUACCGCAUAAUAACUUUAAACAUAAGUUUUAAGUUUGAAAGAUGCAAUUGCAUCACUCAAAGAUGAUCCCGCGUUGUAUUAGCUAGUUGGUGAGGUAAAGGCUCACCAAGGCGAUGAUACAUAGCCGACCUGAGAGGGUGAUCGGCCACAUUGGGACUGAGACACGGCCCAAACUCCUACAGGAGGCAGCAGUAGGGAAUCUUCGGCAAUGGACGAAAGUCUGACCGAGCAACGCCGCGUGAGUGAAGAAGGUUUUCGGAUCGUAAAACUCUGUUGGUAGAGAAGAACGUUGGUGAGAGUGGAAAGCUCAUCAAGUGACGGUAACUACCCAGAAAGGGACGGCUAACUACGUG
rnacentral:rRNA from 1 species